GGCNUUAGAGUUUGAUCCUGGCUCAGAACGAACGCUGGCGGCAGGCCUAACACAUGCAAGUCGAGCGCNCYCUUCGGRGUGAGCGGCGGACGGGUUAGUAACGCGUGGGAAYRUACCCUUNUCUAYGGAAUAGCCUYNGGAAACKRAGAGUAAUACCAUAUACGCCCUUCGGGGGAAAGAUUUAUCGGUGAAGGAUUGGCCCGCGUUUGAUUAGAUAGUUGGUGGGGUAAUGGCCUACCAAGUCUACGAUCAAUAGCUGGUUUGAGAGGAUGAUCAGCAACACUGGGACUGAGACACGGCCCAGACUCCUACGGGAGGCAGCAGUGGGGAAUCUUAGACAAUGGGCGCAAGCCUGAUCUAGCCAUGCCGCGUGAGUGACGAAGGCCUUAGGGUCGUAAAGCUCUUUCGCCAGAGAUGAUAAUGACNGUAUCUGGUAAAGAAACNCCGGCUAACUCCGUGCCAGCAGCCGCGGUAAUAAGGGCG
rnacentral:rRNA from 1 species